ensembl:lncRNA
CAAAAGUGGCCUCAGAGCCUCGUUAUCGAUGCGCGUCGGUCCGGGCGACACGACAGAUACUGUAAAUUACGCUGAAUCCUAAAAGUCUUGCAUAGGUAACCAAUACGUUCCAUCGCGGUUGUGUAAAAAUCCAGGAAAUGUCUUACAGUUUGAAUGUUUAGCACACGGGGACCAUUUGCUCAUUGGACUAAUGUAACUUUGUUUGACUGACGCUGUGCCGAUUUGAGUCGGUUGAUAAGCUGUUGGUAGGUGCACUGGGAAUAUACACGGUGAGACGUGCACGUUGUCACUGGAAGGCGACUCACACGUUUUUAAUUAGUGACAAUAGAACGUGCAGCGCAGAUGCAUCCUUACUAUCUAACGAUAUUGUCGUGUACUUUAAAUGCAGUGUGUAAGUACACGUGUUGCAUUUCCUCUCCUGUUUAUGGCUUUGUUUGUCUGAAGAUGACCAACGCGUUUGGUACAGAAACGCCGGCGUGCUGUGAUGGGAGAAGGUAGACGAAGCCGGAGGUCCCGGCUUAUCGGGCACAGCGACACGUUUUAUUUCUGCUGCACGGCACGAUUCAUUUAGUAAAUGACUCCAUUCAGAGUGUGAAUCCCUUGUGAUUGACACGUCGCCAGGAGAGCACAAAACGCCUCGGCGGUAACGGACAAAACCGCCAAAGUGGAGGCUUCCACUUCCUAUACGGUCCGCUGAGUCGCACUGCUUCCUCAAAGCCACGCGUUCGCGUAACGCGGUGAAGCCCGCUGUCCUCCUUCCACGGCCGCAGUCUGACCUCUGACAUGGAGGACAAGCGCCGCGGUUGCCUUGUUUGUGUGCGUGCGCGCUAUUGAUCGAUAGGCGACCUCUUUCGGUAUCGAUGGAGGGACAGAGCCGCGGACAAAUGGCUCGAAGCACAAAGAGGGGAUCAGGUUCCCGUCGCAUCGGUCCAAGAGAGUCGCAGCAGUUGCCACAGUUGUGGGGUUUCUCGCGUCGUGAAGGUGUUUUGAUUAACGCCCUCGGUAUUUAAACCAUUUUAUCUGGGGUGGUAGACUAAAACAAGUUUGAUUCACUUGUUAAUUGUUUAAUUAAUUGUUCUAUGGCCAAUGUGGCGUAAUAUGUACCAACCAUUGGAUCCACUUUUGGCCCCUGAUGGUGUGUCAAGACAAGGCGCCAGAAGCCAAAGCCAGAAUUCACCUUUUGUAUUUUCCUACUUCGCCACUUUUUGGUUUGUGGAAUUAGAAUGUGUCUCGGAAAAUGGCUUUUAGUGGUAAUUAUUCAAACUUCCUCAGGUCAUGAAAAAGAAAAUGUUACAGUACGGUUGCCCUUUAAAAAAAUCUCGUUUUAGCAGUUUGUGGCAUUUUGAGGGAUCGAUUUGCUAAAAUGGAAUAGAAUUUGAAUAAGUAUGUGUUUUAUUUGUAUACAAACCCUGAAUCUAAGGAAGGUGUUGGCGGUGGUAAAGGACAUGGCCUAAAACUAACUUAUUUGCUUCCUGGGGAGACGGAGGUUCAUUUAGAAGAUGUGUUCAUGGCUUUUGUGGGUAUCCCAGGGCUGCGCCGGUUUGUGGGAAGGUGCGUUGAAUACGGAGCGCUCGGUCUAAUCAGUCGGUUGCAACCUGUAAGCAAACCACUAGAUGCCGCCAAAUCCUUCACGCGGUCCCUUCAGCAUCGGGUCACAUUGGCAGAGCGUUCACAAAUGAAGUGACAUAAGCACAGGCCGCAGCUUUUAUUUGGUUUUAUUCAUGGAUAACAAUUUUUGAUACUGCUUCUUCCAUUUAAGGAUGAAAUACUAAAAACAUAAAACACGGCUUGGUCAAAAUUCUGGUCAAACCCUUAAAGAAAUGCGCUGAAAUGUAAACUGGAAUGAAAAGGUGGAAUGUGUUUGGUGAAACUUUCUCGGGUGUAAAAGCGUAUUUAUUAUAUAUUGGAUUCUUGAGUG